GUGCCAGCCCCGCGGUAAUACGUAAGUGGCAAGCGUUAUCCGGAAUUACUGGGCAUAAAGAGUUCGUAGGCGGUUAAACAAGCCAAUAGUGAAAUCCACCAGCCUAACUGGUGUCAGCUAAUGGAACUGUUUAACUUGAGUACAGGAGAGGAAAGUGGAAUUCCUAGUGUAGUAGUGAAAUGCGUAGAUAUUAGGAAGAACAUCUGUAGCGAAGGCGACUUUCUGGACUGUAACUGGCGCUGAGGAACGAAAGCGUGGGGAGCGAACAGGAUUAGAAACCCGUGUAGUCC
rnacentral:rRNA from 1 species